ensembl:miRNA
GCUGUCAGGGAACAGCUGGGUGAGCUGCUGCCCCAGACACCCAGCAGGCAUCCAUAGCUCACCCUCUGCUCCCAG